CCUACGGGUGGCUGCAGUGAGGAAUAUUGGUCAAUGGGCGGGAGCCUGAACCAGCCAAGCCGCGUGAGGGAAGAAGGUACAGCGUAUCGUAAACCUCUUUUGUCAGGGAACAAAGGCGGGGACUAGUCCCCGGAUGAGGGUACCUGAAGAAAAAGCAUCGGCUAACUACGUGCCAGCAGCCGCGGUAAUACGUAGGGAGCGAUCGUUGUCCGGAAUUACUGGGUGUAAAGGGGGCGGAGGCGGGACUGCAAGUUGGGUGUCAAAUCUACCGGCUCAACCGGUAACCGAACUCAAAACUGCAGGUCUUGAGUGAAGUAGAGGCAGGCGGAAUUCCUAGUGUAGCGGUGAAAUGCGUAGAUAGUAGGAGGAACACCAGUGGCGAAGGCGGCCUGCUGGGCUUUUACUGACGCUGAGGCUCGAAAGUGUGGGGAGCAAACAGGAUUAGAUACCCCUGUAGUC
rnacentral:rRNA from 1 species